UUUUGAUGUACUUUUAAAAAAUGUACUUGAUAUUGAUCAAGCACCUUUGAUUUUUAUUUUUUGAAAGGUUAAUUUGAAGAGACAUUUUAUCUUUUCGGAUUAACAAUUAUGCAUCAAUUAAAGUUACAAUAAAAUAAAUUAAAAAAUAAAGCAAAUAAUAAAUAUAAAAAAAGAUAAAAGAAAUAAUAAAAGAAAGGGACACACUAUAAAUACAAGAGGUAAAAUAAUAAAAAAAGUAAAGAAAAUAAAAGAAAAAACAAAAAUAAAUAAAUAAAGCAAUAAUAAAAAAACAAUAAAUAAAAAAUAUACAAAAGACAAAAACAUGCUGAAAAUAUGGGGCGUGGCUAGGAAAAUGCUCUAGGCUUAAAUAAGGGAGCCUCACAGGGGUGCACUGACAAUUAGUGGGUAUGAGGGAAA
rnacentral:lncRNA from 1 species